rnacentral:rRNA from 1 species
UACAGAGGGGGCAAGCGUUGUUCGGAAUUACUGGGCGUAAAGGGCGCGUAGGCGGCCCGCUAAGUCGAACGUGAAAUCCCCGAGCUCAACUCGGGGAACUGCGUCCGAUACUGGCGGGCUUGAAUCCGGGAGAGGGAUGCGGAAUUCCAGGUGGUAGCGGUGAAAUGCGUAGAUAUCUGGAGGAACACCGGUGGCGAAGGCGGCAUCCUGGACCGGCAUUGACGCUGAGGCGCGAAAGCUAGGGGAGCAAACGGG